UUUCCGCCCUUCAGUGCCGCAGCUAACGCAUUAAGUAUUCCGCCUGGGGAGUACGACCGCAAGGUUGAAACUCAAAGGAAUUGACGGGGGCCCGCACAAGUGGUGGAGCAUGUGGUUUAAUUCGAUGCUACGCGAAGAACCUUACCAGCUCUUGACAUCUUCUGCCAACCUAAGAGAUUAGGCGUUCCCUUCGGGGACAGAAUGACAGGUGGUGCAUGGUUGUCGUCAGCUCGUGUCGUGAGAUGUUGGGUUAAGUCCCGCAACGAGCGCAACCCUUAUUAUUAGUUGCCAGCAUUUAGUUGGGCACUCUAGUGAGACUGCCGGUGAUAAACCGGAGGAAGGUGGGGAUGACGUCAAAUCAUCAUGCCCCUUAUGAGCUGGGCUACACACGUGCUACAAUGGAUGGUACAACGAGUCGCGAAACCGCGAGGUCAAGCUAAUCUCUUAAAGCCAUUCUCAGUUCGGAUUGCAGGCUGCAACUCGCCUGCAUGAAGUUGG
rnacentral:rRNA from 2 species